rnacentral:lncRNA from 1 species
AUGGCCGACAGACAGCCACACCUGUUGACCACUGCUGGAAUAUCCUGUCAAUCCUUUUAUACCAGGAGAACCCUAGAGGUUCAAAGUGUUCUGAGCACAAAUCCAAAGGGUGAAGAAAUCUUCAGAGAGUAUGACAAAACUAAAACGCUGUCAGAUGCAACACGCAAACAAAUGGUCAACAUUCUGGUCGCAGAAAUGAUAGAAUCAUAUGGGAGGAUUCCACCAAGAAGUGUGUGGUCCAGCUUUGCAUUGGGAAUUGUGACCCUUUUUCCAUAUCUCCAAGAUCCUUACUCAAAACAUGGAUAUGUAAGUUUUAAUGUGUCUUUGUAG